AUUGAACGCUGGCGGAAUGCUUUACACAUGCAAGUCGAGCGGCAGCACGGGGGCAACCCUGGUGGCGAGCGGCGAACGGGUGAGUAAUACAUCGGAACAUGCCCAGUCGUGGGGGAUAACACUUCGAAAGAAGUGCUAAUACCGCAUACGUCCUGAGGGGGAAAGCGGGGGAUCGCAAGACCUCGCGCGAUUGGAGUGGCCGAUGUCAGAUUAGCUAGUUGGUGGGGUAAAGGCCUACCAAGGCAACGAUCUGUAGCUGGUCUGAGAGGAUGAUCAGCCACACUGGGACUGAGACACGGCCCAGACUCCUACGGGAGGCAGCAGUGGGGAAUUUUGGACAAUGGGGGCAACCCCGAUCCAGCCAUUCCGCGUGAGUGGAGAAGGCCUUCGGGUUGUAAAGCUCUUUCGGCAGGAACGAAACGGUGAGCUCUAACAUAGCUUGCUAAUGACGGUACCUGAAGAAGAAGCACCGGCUAACUACGUG
rnacentral:rRNA from 1 species